rnacentral:rRNA from 1 species
GACGAACGCUGGCGGCGUGCUUAACACAUGCAAGUCGAACGGAAAGGCCCUGCUUUUGUGGGGUGCUCGAGUGGCGAACGGGUGAGUAACACGUGAGUAACCUGCCCUUGACUUUGGGAUAACUUCAGGAAACUGGGGCUAAUACCGGAUAGGAGCUCCUGCUGCAUGGUGGGGGUUGGAAAGUUUCGGCGGUUGGGGAUGGACUCGCGGCUUAUCAGCUUGUUGGUGGGGUAGUGGCUUACCAAGGCUUUGACGGGUAGCCGGCCUGAGGGGGUGACCGGCCACAUUGGGACUGAGAUACGGCCCAGACUCCAACGGGAGGCAGCAGUGGGGAAUAUUGCACAAUGGGCGGAAGCCUGAUGCAGCAACGCCGCGUGCGGGAUGACGGCCUUCGGGUUGUAAACCGCUUUCGCCUGUGACGAAGCGUGAGUGACGGUAAUGGGUAAAGAAGCACCGGCUAACUACGUG